UGGUAAUGAUUACGUUUAAUUAGUGCUUCUGAGUUUUUUUUCAAUGAAGCAUAAAUAAAAAAGUAUUGAUUGAAUUUCUUGAUAUAAGCUA